CAAUCCACAUCAUAUGAACUGUAAAAAAAUGGUUAAUGUCUUGGAUUAAAGCAGACUCUGUCCCAGGCUCUGCUUCCCGCUAGUCCAGGCCACGGGCUGAGUCGGUGGGGCGGCGGCGAGGGUCUCCACGGCAAGCAGCGGACCCUGGGGACCGGGACGAAGUCGACUCCGCGCCUCCCACGCGGGACCGCAGAGGACUCGAGCGGUCGGAAGCUGCGCACAGCCUUCUCUGAUGGGAAACCCCCUUAGCCUCCCGGGCUAGACUGGCGGAGUCGCCCCUCACUGCUGGUUUUGAAAUGCUCCCCACUUUCAGCGUCCUGCGCUGAAGUCUUUCUGGGGUGAGCUCCGCUCGGUCCGCAGGACUGUCAGCCUCUUCUGCCCAGAGGCGGAGUGAAGGCAGCAAUGCAGAACCAAGGACAGCAGGCGAGGAAUGAAAGCCUUGUUUUUAAUGGAAUACUCAAUUUACAGGCAGGGCCAGAGGCACGGUAAUGCCUGGCCAGCUCCACUUUGCAAGCCUGACCUGAAAGUUUAUUGGAGGGAAAUACAGAUAUCUACAGAUGACUGGCUGUAUUUGUAAUGUUGUCUUGGUGGCUCCGUUUGCAUAAGUGGCAGAAUAAGCAGUGUGGAAUGGGAACGUAAAGAGAGAUGGAUGUGUGUGUGCUUGUGUGUGAGUUGUAUGUCAGUGUGUGUGUGUGUGUGUGUGUGUGUGUGUGUGUGUGUGUGUGUGUGUUGGGGAACAGGUUAUAGGAAGAGUGGAAAAAACACACUCAAUCUGGUCAGGUACAAAAAGACUUGAAUAUUAUAGUUUCCAUGGGUGUUGGGAAGCUUUUAAAGUCUUAAGCACAUAUGGCAUGAAAUAGUGGGUACUUCUUAAAUAGUUUUUAUUUUUGUGCUAGUUAAGAGC
rnacentral:lncRNA from 1 species